GUGCUAUGAUGUUAAAUAUUUUUGUUGAAUAAUUGUAUGAAAGUAUUUUUUAUGAGCUUUUUAACACUGAGCAUA